rnacentral:rRNA from 1 species
AAUCGAUAUAAUGGAAGCGAAUGAAGUCGGCGUAUCUAGUGCGUAUUCAGUUGUCGUACAAUGCGAUUGCUUUGCUGAUUUGCCGUAAGGUUGAUACAGUAGAGUAUUGUUGUGUUGUUCGGCGAUGCAUUUGCGUACAGAGUGCGACAAGUCGGUUAGUGUUGUCGGUAGAAAUUGUUCAAGAGGACGGCCUCGGUCGAAACCUUGUAUAAUGUAUGCCUGAUUAAUGCUGUCCGAUGUGGAUUGGAAACGUUGGUUUAGUCGGUUCGCUUGCGAGCCUCUUCGUUUCACUUGUCGUAUUGUCGGUCACUCAUUCGACCCGUCUUGAAACACGGACCAAGGAGUUUACGGUACACGCGAGACAAUGAGUGUUUAAAGCUCAUAGUCUGAAUGAAAGUGAAAUUGUUGAACGAUUUGAACACGAUCGAUGAUUGGUUUCGACUGAUUGUCGCGUAGUGUUGCCCCAUUCCGUGAACUUGUUCUGGUGUGGAGGUUGAGCGUGUGCGGUGAGACCCGAAAGAUGGUGAACUAUGCCUGAACAGGAUGAAGUCAGAGGAAACUCUGAUGGAAGUCCGAAGCGGUUCUGACGUGCAAAUCGAUCGUCUGAUUUUGGUAUAGGGGCG